UUAGUUGCUUCGGCGGGCCCGCCAUUCGUGGCCGCCGGGGGCUCUCAGCCCCGGGCCCGCGCCCGCCGGAGACACCACGAACUCUGUCUGAUCUAGUGAAGUCUGAGUUGAUUGUAUCGCAAUCAGUUAAAACUUUCAACAAUGGAUCUCUUGGUUCCGGCAUCGAUGAAGAACGCAGCGAAAUGCGAUAACUAGUGUGAAUUGCAGAAUUCCGUGAAUCAUCGAGUCUUUGAACACACAUUGCGCCCCCUGGUAUUCCGGGGGGCAUGCCUGUCCGAGCGUCAUUGCUGCCCAUCAAGCACGGCUUGUGUGUUGGGUCGUCGUCCCCUCUCCGGGGGGGACGGGCCCCAAAGGCAGCGGCGGCACCGCGUCCGAUCCUCGAGCGUAUGGGGCUUUGUCACCCGCUCUGUAGGCCCGGCCGGCGCUUGCCGAACGCAAAUCAAUCUUUUCCAGGU
rnacentral:rRNA from 1 species